rnacentral:tRNA from 1 species
UGGGUUGUAGCUCAGUGGUAGAGUGCUUGUCUAGCACAUGUGAGGCACUGGGUUCCAUCCUCAGCACCACAU